rnacentral:rRNA from 1 species
UACGGGGGGUGCGAGCGUUGUUCGGAAUUACUGGGCGUAAAGAGCACGUAGGCGGAUUGGAAAGUCAAAUGUGAAAGCCCCGGACUCAACCCGGGAAUUGCACUUGAAACUUCCAACCUUGAAUGCCUGAGAGGGUGACGGAAUUCCUGGUGUAGAAGUGAAAUUCGUAGAUAUCAGGAGGAACACCCGAGGCGAAGGCGGUUACCUGGCAGUGCAUUGACGCUGAGGUGCGAAAGCGUGGGGAGCAAACAGG